GGGGCAUUGACUAUAAUGAUGCUGAACAAAUGGAAGGAUAAGAAUGCUUUCAGUUUUUCAUUAUCCUCAGCAAAUUAAUAUCCAUCCUCAUUCCCUUGGAAAUACAAAAGACAAGUAAGGUUGGUACAAGUUUUAAUUGGCAUGCCAGGAAACCAACAGUAACAUCUCAUGCAACGGAAACAUUAUGCAUCACAUCAGUCGUGGAGAGUUCCUAGAACAUCCUCAUCUCGGUACAGAUGAUAAUCUUUAUCACCAAGUUUCACUUCAGUGCCUCCAUAAUUGGGCAAAAGAACAGUGUCUCCUUCCUUUACAGUAACAGGAAUAAGCUUUCCAUCUUGAUCCCUAGCUCCAGGACCCACCGCAACCACUUUUCCAGAGUUCAACUGGGGGGUUUUCUCAGGAAGAAGAAUUCCAGAGUUGGUUUUGGAAGGAGGGACGAUUUUCUCAACCAAAAUGCGAUUCAGCGAAGGAAUCAAACGCCUUGCCAUCUUCAG
rnacentral:misc_RNA from 1 species